rnacentral:rRNA from 1 species
GAGGCGGGGCUAACAUGCAAGUCGAACGAUGAAGCCCUUCGGGGUGGAUUAGUGGCGAACGGGUGAGUAACACGUGGGCAAUCUGCCCUUCACUCUGGGACAAGCCCUGGAAACGGGGUCUAAUACCGGAUAACACUCCUGCCUGCAUGGGUGGGGGUUAAAAGCUCCGGCGGUGAAGGAUGAGCCCGCGGCCUAUCAGCUUGUUGGUGGGGUAAUGGCCUACCAAGGCGACGACGGGUAGCCGGCCUGAGAGGGCGACCGGCCACACUGGGACUGAGACACGGCCCAGACUCCUACGGGAGGCAGCAGUGGGGAAUAUUGCACAAUGGGCGAAAGCCUGAUGCAGCGACGCCGCGUGAGGGAUGACGGCCUUCGGGUUGUAAACCUCUUUCAGCAGGGAAGAAGCGAAAGUGACGGUACCUGCAGAAGAAGCGCCGGCUAACUACGUGCCAGCAGCCGCGGUAAUACGUAGGGCGCAAGCGUUGUCCGGAAUUAUUGGGCGUAAAGAGCUCGUAGGCGGCUUGUCGCGUCGGAUGUGAAAGCCCGGGGCUUAACCCCGGGUCUGCAUUCUAUACGGGCAGGCUAGAGUG